UCGAGAAUCUUCCGCAAUGGACGAAAGUCUGACGGAGCGACGCCACGUGAUGGAUGAAGUCCCUCUGGGACGUAAACAUCUUUUAUGAGGGAGAAAGUUUAUUGAUAGUACCUCACGAAUAAGGGGUUGCUAAACUCGUGCCAGCAGCAGCGGUAAUACGAGUGCCCCGAGCGUUAUCCGGAAUCAUUGGGCGUAAAGGGUGUGUAGGUGGCAUUGUUAGUCACACGUUAAACCCUGGGGCUUAACCCCAGAUCUGCGUGUGAUACGGCAAAGCUAGAGGAUGGCAGGGAUGUAUGGAACUCAUGGAGUAGGGGUGAAAUCCGUUGAUAUCAUGGGGAACACCGAAAGCGAAGGCAGUACAUUGGGCCACUCCUGACACUGAAACACGAAAGCGUGGGUAGCGAAUGGGAUUAGAUACCCUUGUAGUCCCUGAGCGGGCUGGCAAGGCGCAU
rnacentral:rRNA from 1 species